rnacentral:rRNA from 1 species
UACGUAGGGUGCAAGCGUUUGUCCGGAAUUAUUGGGCGUAAAGAGCUCGUAGGCGGUUUGUCGCGUCUGCUGUGAAAACUCGGGGCUUAACCCCGAGCCUGCAGUGGGUACGGGGCAGACUAGAGUGCGGUAGGGGGAGACUGGAAUUCCUGGUGUAGCGGUGAAAUGCGCAGAUAUCAGGAGGAACACCGGUGGCGAAGGCGGGGUCUCUGGGCCGUAACUGACGCUGAGGAGCGAAAAGCGUGGGGGAGCGAACAGG